CGCGGGAUGGAGCAGUCUGGUAGCUCGUCGGGCUCAUAACCCGAAGGUCGGAGGUUCAAAUCCUCCUCCCGCAA
rfam:Bacillus sp. LL01 scaffold130.1, whole genome shotgun sequence.